rnacentral:rRNA from 1 species
AGCAGUAGCCGCGGUAAUACGUAGGUGGCGAGCGUUGUCCGGAAUCAUUGGGCGUAAAGGGAGCGCAGGCGGGCAUGUAAGUCUUUCUUAAAAGUUCGGGGCUCAACCCCGUGAUGGGAAAGAAACUACAUGUCUUGAGUACAGGAGAGGAAAGCGGAAUUCCCAGUGUAGCGGUGAAAUGCGUAGAUAUUGGGAGGAACACCAGUGGCGAAGGCGGCUUUCUGGACUGCAACUGACGCUGAGGCUCGAAAGCCAGGGGAGCGAACGGGAUUAGAUACCCCCGUAGUCCCUGUCUCUUAUACA